GGUUUCCUAGUAUAACGGCGAUCACAGCGGAUUCUGAUUCCGCUAAUCUGUGUUCGAUUCCUAGGGAGGCCU